AUUGAACGCUAGCGGGAUGCCUUACACAUGCAAGUCGAACGAGUGGCGGACGGGUGAGUAAUAUAUCGGAAUGUGCCCAGUAGCGGGGGAUAACUACUCGAAAGUGUGGCUAAUACCGCCUACUAUUGGAGCGGCCGAUAUCGGAUUAUCUAGUUGGUGGGGUAAAGGCUCACCAAGGCCACGAUCCGUAGCUGGUUUGAGAGGACGACCAGCCACACUGGGACUGAGACACGGCCCAGACUCCUACGGGAGGCAGCAGUGGGGAAUUUUGGACAAUGGGUGAAACCCUGAUCCAGCCAUGCCGCGUGUAUGAGAAGGCCUUCGGGUUGUAAAGUACUUUUGGCAGAGAGGCGGUAUCUGCAGAAUAAGCACCGGCUAACUCCGUGCCAGCAGCCGCGGUAAUUC
rnacentral:rRNA from 1 species